rnacentral:rRNA from 1 species
AUUGAACGCUGGCGGCAGGCCUAACACAUGCAAGUCGAGCGGAUGAAGGGAGCUUGCUCCUGGAUUCAGCGGCGGACGGGUGAGUAAUGCCUAGGAAUCUGCCUGGUAGUGGGGGAUAACGUCCGGAAACGGGCGCUAAUACCGCAUACGUCCUGAGGGAGAAAGUGGGGGAUCUUCGGACCUCACGCUAUCAGAUGAGCCUAGGUCGGAUUACCUAGUUGGUGGGGUAAAGGCCUACCAAGGCGACGAUCCGUAACUGGUCUGAGAGGAUGAUCAGUCACACUGGAACUGAGACACGGUCCAGACUCCUACGGGAGGCAGCAGUGGGGAAUAUUGGACAAUGGGCGAAAGCCUGAUCCAGCCAUGCCGCGUGUGUGAAGAAGGUCUUCGGAUUGUAAAGCACUUUAAGUUGGGAGGAAGGGCAGUAAGUUAAUACCUUGCUGUUUUGACGUUACCAACAGAAUAAGCACCGGCUAACUUCGUG